GGGGUGUUAGUCUUUGUAAGGCGUUGGACUGUAAAUCUGAAAAAGGUUAACAACUAUAACCACACCUCU
rnacentral:tRNA from 1 species